AACGAACGCUGGCGGCAGGCCUAACACAUGCAAGUCGAACGCUCGUAGCAAUACGAGAGUGGCAGACGGGUGAGUAACACGUGGGAACCUUCCCUAUGGUUCGGAAUAGCCCAGGGAAACUUGGGGUAAUACCGGAUAAGCCCCUACGGGGAAAGAUUUAUCGCCAUCGGAUGGGCCCGCGUCGGAUUAGCUAGUUGGUGGGGUAACGGCUCACCAAGGCGACGAUCCGUAGCUGGUCUGAGAGGAUGAUCAGCCACACUGGGACUGAGACACGGCCCAGACUCCUACGGGAGGCAGCAGUGGGGAAUAUUGGACAAUGGGCGCAAGCCUGAUCCAGCCAUGCCGCGUGAGUGACGAAGGCCUUAGGGUUGUAAAGCUCUUUUGGCGGGGAAGAUAAUGACGGUACCCGCAGAAUAAGCUCCGGCUAACUUCGUGCCAGCCGCCGCAGUAAGAC
rnacentral:rRNA from 1 species